GGGUUGUGAGGUUAAGCGACUAAGCGUACACGGUGGAUGCCCUGGCAGUCAGAGGCGAUGAAGGACGUGCUAAUCUGCGAUAAGCGUCGGUAAGGUGAUAUGAACCGUUAUAACCGGCGAUUUCCGAAUGGGGAAACCCAGUGUGUUUCGACACACUAUCAUUAACUGAAUCCAUAGGUUAAUGAGGCGAACCGGGGGAACUGAAACAUCUAAGUACCCCGAGGAAAAGAAAUCAACCGAGAUUCCCCCAGUAGCGGCGAGCGAACGGGGAGCAGCCCAGAGCCUGAAUCAGUGUGUGUGUUAGUGGAAGCGUCUGGAAAGGCGCGCGAUACAGGGUGACAGCCCCGUACACAAAAAUGCACAUGCUGUGAGCUCGAUGAGUAGGGCGGGACACGUGGUAUCCUGUCUGAAUAUGGGGGGACCAUCCUCCAAGGCUAAAUACUCCUGACUGACCGAUAGUGAACCAGUACCGUGAGGGAAAGGCGAAAAGAACCCCGGCGAGGGGAGUGAAAAAGAACCUGAAACCGUGUACGUACAAGCAGUGGGAGCACGCUUAGG
rnacentral:rRNA from 1 species